rnacentral:rRNA from 1 species
CCUACGGGAGGCUGCAGUGGGGAAUAUUGGGCAAUGGGCGAAAGCCUGACCCAGCAAAGCCGCGUGAAGGAAGACGGCUUUCGGGUUGUAAACUUCUUUUGACAUGGGAGAGUAACAGACGGUACCUGCCGUCUAGUCUAUGGCUAAUUACGUGCCAGCAGCCGCGGUAAUACGGAGGUUGCAAGCGUUGUCCGGAUUUACUGGGUGUAAAGGGCGUGUAGCCGGGUUGAUAAGUCAGUUGUGAUAUUUUGCGGCUUAACCGUAGAAUUGCAGUUGAAACUGGUAGUCUUGAGUACUGUAGAGGCAGACGGAAUUCGUAGUGUAGCGGUGAAAUGCUUAGAUAUCAGGAGGAACACCGGUUGCGAAGGCAG